rnacentral:rRNA from 1 species
CGUAGAGAGUUUGUAGUCCUGGCGUCAGGAUGAACGCUGGCGGCGUGCUUAACACAUGCAAGUCGAGCGGAGCACAUCAUUGGAAGUCCUUCGGGAGGAAGAGGAGUGUGGCUAGCGGCGGACGGGUGAGUAACGCGUGGACAACCUGCCCUAUGCAGGGGGAGUAACAUCCGGAAACGGGUGCUAAUACCGCAUAAGCGCACAGUACCGCAUGGUACAGUGUGAAAAGCUGAGGCGGCAUAGGAUGGGUCCGCGUUGGAUUAGGCAGUUGCGGGGUAACGGCCCACCAAACCGACGAUCCAUAGCCGGCCUGAGAGGGUGGACGGCCACAUUGGGACUGAGACACGGCCCAGACUCCUACGGGAGGCAGCAGUGGGGAAUAUUGCACAAUGGGGGGAACCCUGAUGCAGCGACGCCGCGUGGGUGAGGAAGUACUUCGGUAUGUAAAGCCCUAUCAGCAGGGAAGAAAAUGACGGUACCUGACUAAGAGGCCCCGGCUAACUACGUG